rnacentral:lncRNA from 1 species
ACCUACAACAGGCAGUAGAGAACUACUAACAGGAGGCGUUACAGAAACACCUGGGAAACGGGGCUGUUGACGGCUGAAAGGGAGGAGGGAUUAUUUUUUAGGCUGAAACUAAUGAGUUCUACACACUGAUGCUGCGAUGUUAACUUCCACUCCUUUCUCAUUCGCCGUCCUCCCCUUCUGCAGCUUUGAAGGACUGUGAAAUGCAGACCCAAGUACCCACUGCACAAAAGAAGGCUCUGACACAGGAACUCCUUCCCAGAAGGUUGAGGAAUGUCAUGUGGUUGCAGGAGGAAAUGCGCUAGACCUGGAGUCAGAGGAGGUGAAACCCAGAGGUGGUAAAAAUGCCCAGGUAUGUUUGAGGCAGCAGAGAAGACUGCCGGGAGAGUGGAGAAGGCUGAAGUCUUACUUAAGAAACUCAGCAUGUGGUCCUGUCCCACACGGUUUAGGCAGCAGCAAGCUGCUGUUGGACAGAGUUUUUGGUGUCUCUUUAUGUUUUCCAAGUGAAAUGAGUUAACACACACCAAGGUCAUAGCGAGGGGUGCACGACACACUAGGAAAUUCCAGUGCCGUAAUUCCAGAGGAGAGAAGUCCCACGCAGCCUCGGAGACCUGGAGAUGGGGCAGCUCCUCCUGACGUCCCAGUUCUCAGCAGGGCUGCCAGGACUCAGACACUUUCUUUCAACCACCAAAGGGUUUCCACAGAAAGGUGACUGCAACAAGUAGCCAGGGUGGAGGGCCCCUGCAGGAGCUCAUGACAUGGGGCGGGCAGCAUCAGAAGCACCGAGCGAGUCAGUGGACAGCCAAGCAUCACCCACUCAGUCACACCCUCGACCUGAGUCCAGCUGGUGUCCUCUGUGCCCGUCUUCCCAGGUGUCACAUGUGCUGACUCUUCCUCCUGAGAGACCCCAGAGGAGAGAGACCCCAGAAGAGAGAGACGCUGGAGGGGCUGUGGCUUGCGCUAAAAUGUGGAGAAAUGUA